GGAGAAGAACCAAGCCCUGAGGGAAUGCAAUGCACAAGCAGCUUUGGAUGACAGCGGCUCGCUUCAAGAGCAGGUGAAGCAAGUGGGGACAAUGUUGAAGACGUUUGCUCUCACUGGGCAAUCAGGUGCGUUACGUGUUUUUUGAAAGGAGCAUCUGACCAUGAAGGCAGAAAAAGGCGCCGCACAGCUGAGAGGGACCCAAAGCCGCCCCCUUAAACCUAGGCUGACUACUGACACCCCAGCAUCACUGACAACUGGAACACUUUAGUUAUCCUGCAGUCCGUAACAUCAAGAAGCCAGAAGU